rnacentral:snoRNA from 1 species
AAUACUAUACUUUCAGGGAUCAUUUCUAUAGUUCGUUACUAGAGAAGUUUCUCUGAUUGUGUAGAGUACCAGAAACCAUGAGGAGGAGGCGUACCAUUCCCUUCUGAGCGUGAAGCUGGCUUUUAGUGUUGCUUUGCUGCAACUGCCUAUUGCAAUUAAUGAUUGUUCUUCUCUCCUCUUUGGGAGAGCAAGAGGAAGGGAACACAGUCUGAGUGGU